AUACGUAGGGUGCAAGCGUUAAUCGGAAUUACUGGGCGUAAAGCGUGCGCAGGCGGUUUUGUAAGACAGAGGUGAAAUCCCCGGGCUCAACCUGGGAACUGCCUUUGGGACUGCAAGGCUAGAGUACGGCAGAGGGGGAUGGAAUUCCGCGUGUAGCAGUGAAAUGCGUAGAUAUGCGGAGGAACACCGAUGGCGAAGGCAAUCCCCUGGGCCUGUACUGACGCUCAUGCACGAAAGCGUGGGGAGCAAACAGGAUUAGAUACCCUGGUAGUCCACGCCCUAAACGAUGUCAACUGGUUGUUGGGUCUUCAUUGACUCAGUAACGAAGCUAACGCGUGAAGUGGACCGCCUGGGGAGUGCGGGCGCAAGGUUGAAACUCAAAUGAAUUGACGGGG
rnacentral:rRNA from 1 species